rnacentral:rRNA from 1 species
ACGAACGCUGGCGGCGUGCUUAACACAUGCAAGUCGAACGGAAAGGCCCCCUUGUGGGGUACUCGAGUGGCGAACGGGUGAGUAACACGUGAGUAACCUACCCUUGACUUUGGGAUAACUUCAGGAAACUGGGGCUAAUACCGGAUAGGAGCUCCUGCUGCAUGGUGGGGGUUGGAAAGUUUCGGCGGUUGGGGAUGGACUCGCGGCUUAUCAGCUUGUUGGUGGGGUAGUGGCUCACCAAGGCUUUGACGGGUAGCCGGCCUGAGAGGGUGAUCGGCCACAUUGGGACUGAGAUACGGCCCAGGCUCCUACGGGAGGCAGCAGUGGGGAAUAUUGCACAAUGGGCGGAAGCCUGAUGCAGCAACGCCGCGUGCGGGAUGACGGCCUUCGGGUUGUAAACCGCUUUCGCCUGUGACGAAGCGUGAGUGACGGUAAUGAGUAAAGAAGCACCGGCUAACUACGUG